GAUGAAGAACGUAGCGAAAUGCGAUAAGUAAUGUGAAUUGCAGAAUUCAGUGAAACAUCGAAUCUUUGAACGCACAUUGCGCCCGCCAGUAUUCUGGCGAGCAUGCCUGUUCGAGCGUCAUUUCAACCAUCAAGCCCCAGGCUUGUGUUGGAGCCCUGCGGCUGCCGCAGCCUCCCAAAACCAGUGGCGGGCUCGCUAUCACACCGAGUGCAGUAGUUUACUCUUCGCUCAGGGCGUGUGGCGGGUGCUAGCCGUGAAACCCCCAACUUCUCAAGGUUGACCUCGGAUCAGGUAGGAAUACCCGCUGAACUUAAGCAUAUCAAUAAGCGGAGGA
rnacentral:misc_RNA from 1 species